rnacentral:lncRNA from 1 species
CCCCACUCCGUGCCCCACCCCGCAUUAGACGGGACGAGGAUGAGACAACUUUUUGCCCCAUUUAUUGUCUCGUUUAAUUUUAUUUAUUAUUAUUAUUUUUUUACAUUUUGAAAGUUUCGAAUUAUAUUAUUAUUAGAAAAUUAAAUACAAAUUCAAAAUGAAUUUUUAACGGGUAAAUUGUUUAGAAAUAAAAUUAUUUUUAAUUUUUUAAUUUUAUUUUUUUCUUCACGGGACGAGACAGACCACCUUGCCCCACCAACCCAUUCGAGACGAGGUAAAUUGUCAUCCCUAAUUUUAACACACAAGAUUAGGGCUCCAUUUGUUUAUCAUUUUUUGGCCACAAAAUGAAAAAUAUGGCUGUUAUCAAUAACAUCAAGCCAUCAUAUUUGACUUUCUUUCUUUUGUGUGAAUACCGUAACGACUAUAUUUUUCAUUCUCAUUCUUAUAAAUAUUGGAUUUAAAUGAGGCUAAAUCAUCCUUAAUUCUUAAUGUCAACAAGAAUGUACAUCUAGAUUUAUUCUUUUAAAAGGGGUUAAAUUUACAUUUUUUCUAAAUAUUAACAAUUAGAAUAAUUAAAUAAAAAAUAUGAAUAAAAAUAGAAUUGAAAAUCUUUCCCCCAAUCCAAAUCUUCAUCUUCUUCAAAACACCACACCCUACCCAUCCUUUAUCUUCUCCAAUACCCCCAAACCCCAAAUCAAAUCAAAAUUAGAAAAUCACUGAAUCAUAGCCAGCCCCUUCAAGUAGCAAAUCAGUCAAGCUGAGAGGGGAAACCAAAAAACCUACCGCUCGUUUCAGCAUUUAAAGCUUGGCUCCGCUCAUGCUCUCACUUACAUCAAGAACAGUAACCAAUCAAUAGGCAUAUGUCGCGUCAGGUACAGGACAUGGGUCAGUGGUGUAAAGGCAAUAUAGGAGCUUUAACCCUCAAAACGAUGGUGUACGUACCUCAACCAAUAAAGGCAUAUGUCGCUGAAAUAACAACAACCUCAACCAAUAAACUUACCUUCAUGUCAUCUUUGUGUUGUAGGUAAGAACCAUUGCUCGAAAUUGGAUGGGUAAUUUUUGCAUCUGCUAAAACGUAUGGCUCAUCAUCAAAUGCUCUUAUUUCUUGUUAGGUAAUUUUUGUAGAUUAUAACACUCUUAUCAUGUUUGGUUUCAUCAAUUUCUAUUUGUUCUUGAAGUUGCUAGUAAAGGGAUAUCUUUCCAUGUGAUCAACGGUUGUCGGAUGCGUUUUUGGUUUUGAUUUGGGUUGGGGAUUGGAUGUUUUGAAAAAGACGAAGAUUUGACGUAGAGUGGGGGUGGCGACAGAGGCCUGGAGCGGCCCUUUUACUUUUAAUUUAAUUGUUAAUAUUUGUGAAAAUGUAAAUUUAACAUUUUUACCCUUUUACAAUUUGUCAAAGGAUUAAACCAGAUGGUUCACAGCCCCCUCACAAUGAGGGGGCUCCACCUCGAUUUUUUUCCUUUUUAAUGAGUGCGGGCCCCCUCCGAUGUGAGGGGGCUGUCAACCGUGUUGUGUGUCGAGCUGUGCACAUAGCACGGUCCUUUGUCAAAAGAUGUCAUAUUUUUAUUUUUC